rnacentral:rRNA from 1 species
UACGGAGGGAGCGUAGCGUUGUUCGGAAUUACUGGGCGUAAAGCGCACGUAGGCGGCUACUCAAGUCAGAGGUGAAAGCCCAGGGCUCAACCUUGGAACUGCCUUUGAAACUAAGGUAGCUAGAAUUCUGGAGAGGUCAGUGGAAUUCCGAGUGUAGAGGUGAAAUUCGAUAGAUAUUCGGAAGAACACCAGUGGCGAAGGCGACUGACUGGACAGAUAUUGACGCUGAGGUGCGAAAGCGUGGGAGCAACAGG